GAUGAACGCUGGCGGCGUGCCUAAUACAUGCAAGUCGAGCGAACAGACGAGGAGCUUGCUCCUCUGACGUUAGCGGCGGACGGGUGAGUAACACGUGUAAACCUACCUUUAAGACUGGGUAAACUUCGGGAAACCGGGGCUAAAACCGGAAAAUAUUUUUGACCCCUGGGUUCAAUAGGGAAAGUCCGGCUUUCGGGGAUGUACUGGUGGAUUCUCGCCGCAUUAGCUAGGUGGUAAGGUAACGGGUUACCAAGGCAACGAUUGGUAGCCGACCUGAGAGGGUGAUAGGCCACACUGGAAGUUAGACACGGACCAGACUCCUAAGGGAGGCAGCAGUAGGGAAUCUUCCGCAAUGGGCGAAAGCCUGACGGAGCAACGCCGAGUGAGUGAUGAAGGUCUUCGGAUCGUAAAACUCUGUUAUUAGGGAAGAACAGAUGUGUAAGUAACUAUGCCCGUCUUGACGGUACCUAAUCAGAAAGCCACGGCUAACUACGUG
rnacentral:rRNA from 1 species